rnacentral:rRNA from 1 species
UUAGGGUUCGAUUCCGGAGAGGGAGCCUGAGAAACGGCUACCACAUCCAAGGAAGGCAGCAGGCGCGCAAAUUACCCAAUCCCGACACGGGGAGGUAGUGACAAUAAAUAACAAUACAGGGCUCUUUUGGGUCUUGUAAUUGGAAUGAGUACAAUUUAAAUCCCUUAACGAGGAACAAUUGGAGGGCAAGUCUGGUGCCAGCAGCCGCGGUAAUUCCAGCUCCAAUAGCGUAUAUUAAAGUUGUUGCAGUUAAAAAGCUCGUAGUUGAAUUUCGGGGUUCUACCGUUGGUCGGGCUUUGUCUGUACUGGCGUGUAGAAUUUCUACCUUCUGGGGAACCAUUAUGUUAUUAAUUUAGCGUAGUGGGAAACCAGGACCUUUACCUUGAAAAAAUUAGAGUGUUCAAAGCAGGCUUAUGUCUGAAUACAUUAGCAUGGAAUAAUAGAAUAGGACGGUGGUCCUGUUUUGUUGGUUUCUGAAUCACCGUAAUGAUUAAUAGGGAUAGUUGGGGGCAUUAGUAUUCAAUUGUCAGAGGUGAAAUUCUUGGAUUUAUUGAAGACUAACUUCUGCGAAAGCAUUUGCCAAGGAUGUUUUCAUUAAUCAAGAACGAAAGUUAGGGGAUCGAAGACGAUCAGAUACCGUCGUAGUCUUAACCAUAAACUAUGCCGACUAGGGAUCGGACGAUGUUAAUUUUUCUUGACUCGUUCGGCGCCUUACG